GUGAGCUUAAGACUGGCUAUUUGAAAAGACAGAGAGGAGACAAAAGAAGAAAGAAUAAAGAAUGAAGCACACCUAUGAAAUCUAGAAAAUAUCUUCAAAAGGGCAAACCCAAGAGUUAUUGGUCUUAAAGAGGAGGUAGAGAAAGAGAUAGGGUAGAAAGUUUAUUUAAAGGGAUAAUAACAGAGAACUUCCCAAUCAUAGAGAAAAAUAUGAAUAUCCAAGGACAAGAAGUUUGUAGAGCACCAAGCAGAUUUAAUCCGAAGACUACCUCAAGGCAUUUAAUAAUCAAACUCUGAAAGGUCAAGGAUAGAGAAAAGAUCCUAAAAGCAGCAAGAAAAAAAGAAACAACGUAAAAUGGGGCUGUAAUACGUCUGUCAGCAGACUUUACAGUAGAAACCUUACAGGCCAGGAGAGAGUGGCAUGACAUAUUUAAAGUGCUGAAGGAAAACAACUUUUACCCUAGAAUAGUAUAUCUGGCAAAAAAAAAAAAAAAAAAAAUCCUUUAAGCAUGAAGGAGAAAUAGAGAUCUCCAUACACAAAUAAAAGCUGAGGGAUUUCAUCAACACCCGGCUUGUCCUAUAGGAAAUGCUAAAGGGAUUUCUUCAUUCUGAAAGAAAAGGA
rnacentral:lncRNA from 10 species